GAUGAACGCUGGCGGCGUGCCUAAUACAUGCAAGUCGAGCGAACAGACGAGGAGCUUGCUCCUCUGACGUUAGCGGCGGACGGGUGAGUAACACGUGGAUAACCUACCUAUAAGACUGGGAUAACUUCGGGAAACCGGAGCUAAUACCGGAUAAUAUAUUGAACCGCAUGGUUCAAUAGUGAAAGACGGUUUUGCUGUCACUUAUAGAUGGAUCCGCGCCGCAUUAGCUAGUUGGUAAGGUAGCGGCUUACCAAGGCAAUGAUGCGUAGCCGACCUGAGAGGGUGAUCGGCCACACUGGAACUGAGACACGGUCCAGACUCCUACGGGAGGCAGCAGUAGGGAAUCUUCCGCAAUGGGCGAAAGCCUGACGGAGCAACGCCGCGUGAGUGAUGAAGGUCUUCGGAUCGUAAAACUCUGUUAUUAGGGAAGAACAAAUGUGUAAGUAACUAUGCACGUCUUGACGGUACCUAAUCAGAAAGCCACGGCUAACUACGUG
rnacentral:rRNA from 1 species